GACGAACGCUGGCGGCGUGCUUAAUACAUGCAAGUCAACUUGACUUUAGAUAGCAAUAUCGAAAAGUAGGGUGGCGCACGGGUGCGUAACGCGUAGGUAAUCUGCCCUGAGGUCUGACAUAACCCGUCGAAAGGCGGGCUAACAUCAGAUGAUAUAUAGUCACGACAUCGUGGAAAUAUCAAAUCUUCGGAGCCUUGGGAUGAGCCUGCGUCUGAUUAGGUAGUUGGCGGAGUAAUAGCCACCAAGCCUACGAUCAGUAGCUGGUCUGAGAGGAUGAUCAGCCACACUGGAACUGAGACACGGUCCAGACUCCUACGGGAGGCAGCAGUAGGAAUAUGCUCAAUGGGGGAAACCCUGAGCAGCAACGCCGCGUGAAGGA
rnacentral:rRNA from 1 species